GACGAACGCUGGCGGCGUGCUUAACACAUGCAAGUCGAACGGUGAAGCGCCUUCCUUUUUGGUGGGUGUGGAUGAGUGGCGAACGGGUGAGUAACACGUGAGUAACCUGCCCCCUUCUUCUGGAUAACCGCAUGAAAGUGUGGCUAAUACGGGAUAUUCUGGGUCUGUCGCAUGAUGGGUCUGGGAAAGAUAUUGUUUCGGUGGGGGAUGGGCUCGCGGCCUAUCAGCUUGUUGGUGGGGUGAUGGCCUACCAAGGCGGUGACGGGCAGCCGGCCUGAGAGGGUGGACGGUCACACUGGGACUGAGACACGGCCCAGACGCCUACGGGAGGCAGCAGUGGGGAAUAUUGCACAAUGGGCGCAAGCCUGAUGCAGCGACGCCGCGUGAGGGAUGGAGGCCUUCGGGUUGUGAACCUCUUUCGCCAGUGAAGCAGGCCUGCCUCGUUUGUGGGUGGGUUGACGGUAGCUGGAUAAGAAGCGCCGGCUAACUACGU
rnacentral:rRNA from 1 species